CGGUUAUUGCACUAGACAAGAUGAUAUCUUUUUCACGAAUGAAUGAGUGUGUGUGCAGUGUCUCUAUUUAUCCAGUUGGAGGCAGAACACGUCUGCUGUUCAGCUCCUUCAGCACCUUUUUAUUGUCACACCCACAGCCUGAAGAUUUCACACAUAAAUAUGCAUGACAAGACCACAGCACCGCAAGACAGCCUCAUGGUCUCAGAACAAGAGCAGAUAUUUCUCUGUCUUCUGUAGUGUAAGAAGUUAAUGCAUGAAGAGAAUGAGCAGACUAGAGGAAGCGAAGGGCCGAAUCACAGUGGUGGUGAAGGUUUAAAUGGUGGAUCUACUCUGAGAUGAAGAUUCAUAAAUACACAGUCAUCGUCAUCAUCUUUAGCCUUUUCUGUCCUAUCACAGAAACUACAGAACAGAGCCCUACUUAUAACUCCACAUUCAUUACAUCAGUUCCUCCGGCUCUUAAUAAAGUGCAGAUCGUGAUUAUCAUCUCAUCACUCGGAAGUUUGCUUCUGCUUGGCGGUGUGAUAGUCAUCGUUUUAAAAUGCAGAAGGAAACGUCGGACUCAGGAGGAACCCAUUUACAGCAACAUAUAUUACAACACGAGGACAUGCAGAAAAAAGGUCACAGGUGACCAGAAGCAAACGAAAUCAUGAAAUUCAAUAAUUUUUCUUUAUACGUCUUUAUGACACUUAAAUGUUCAUAGCAUCUUGUAGGUUUGCAUGCAAGACCCGACCUGAAACAGAAACGUGUGCAUCUGUGGUUUUGGAGGCGGUUAUUUUAAGGGUCUGGUUCGUCUUUUGCAGUUGUCAGGAAAUUGUUUUACUUGCAUGUCUGCUGGGCACUGCAAACACAGCCCUCUUUUGUUCUCUUUUAUAUAUGUUGUAUCUACAAGAUGACUGUAUACUGGAUACUUUAAGACUUUCCAAAUGACUUUUUGUAAAGCAAAGACAAUCACACUUUAGAAUAGUAUGUACUUGUGGAUGUCUGUCUAUACUGUGAAAGAAAUAUGAAUCUUAUCUGUCUGAACUUAACCUAAUUUAGAGACUUUAAGGGUUCUUCAGGUGUCCCUCUGUGGGAAAGACAAAUACUGUAGAACCCUGCUUUGGAAGCACCCUAAAUUAUCCAAUGAACCUUUAAAGAACCCUUUGUUUUGUUUUUAAGAGUGUAUGUAGUAACUGUGUAAGUAUGUGGCGCAAAAUUCCAAAUCAUUGCUCUGUUUUUUGUUUGUUCUCAAAAAAAAAAAAAGGCCUAGAAAUGCCUUUUUAUUUUUAUUUUUUAAUUUUUUUGGAAGCUACAGUAGGAAACCUUAAUUAUCCAUUGAACCCUUAAAGAACCCUGAAGAAUCUAGAAGAAAACUGACUGAAUACUAAACCCCUGACUGGAUUGGUGCAUUAAGUAGAAAAUAAUAUAGCACAAUGUGGAGUUUGUACCACAAUCUUACCUCGUUAUUACAUACAGUACACGCGCUCUGAGAAACAAAGGGUUCCUCGGGGGUUCUUUCAGGGUUUAAUGGAAAAUUAAGGGCUCUGUUUUCUUCUUUUGUUUUGUUUUUUGUUUUUUUUUAGAUGUUAGUGAGUUUGUAAAGUGAAACUCACACAUUAGUGCGAGUUGUACUUCUGUAGCACUCACGCUACACUGAUGUGUUCAAAACAAAUAGAAUUGUGCCUGUAAGAGAAUAAGAUAAACACUGGAUUUAUGACUGAAGCGUAAAAUCCAAAAAGUCCAUGUAAAUUUACAACAAUGAAUUGUUUAUUCUGUCAUUUUUGACAAAUGAAAACUUUUUUUUUUGUGGCAGAUCGCAUGCUUUAGAAAAUGUAGGUGUUUUGUAAACGUUUUCAUUUUAAUAUGUAAUAGUUCAUUUUAACAUAGGGUUAGGGUUAGGGUUAGGUUUAGGGUCUAACACUAACCCUAACCCAGCACGUCUGUAUUACAUAGGAAAAAAACACACUCACUAUGUACGUGAGGUAAAACAUCACCUCAUUAUAGCGUCAUGUAUGAUUGCACACCCCUAUAUUUUGCUUGCCUGGAAACCUAAUUUUUUUAUCGAAUCAUUUAAGGAUCGCUAGUUAAGUGCAUUAAUACAGAGUAAAGAAAUAAAUGUUGUGUUCAAAACAAACGUACAGUUUUAUGCAAAAGUUUGGGCACUCCUGGGCAAAUUCAGUAAUUGAGGCAUGUCGCAAAAGUUCCGCUUGUAAGGUCUCAGAACUUGAGCUUGUUAGGCCUUAAUUAUCUGAUUGGGAUUAACUGUUAGCCAGGUCGAGACUUGUCAUUAGUAAUAACAAUUCCGUCGUCAUAACUCUUCAAACUACCCCGGGCUCCUCUAAGCAGCUGACUGAGCACCUGAAAAUCAAGCUAUUUUAGUUGAAGCCUACAAAACGGAGGAAGGCUAUAAAAUGUUUCUAGCUGAAAUGUCAUUAAUAAAUGGCGGUUAAGAAGAACUUUCGAAGUCAAAGUAAGAGUUGGAAGACUAAAAAAAAAUUCAAAUAAAACUCAGAUAAAACUGCCAAUAUGCAAAUCCUCCAAUGGCAAUAAAGACUUGCACGAAGGUUUAUCUGACCCAGGAGUGGUAGUGCACAUUUCUACUCAGAUCGUAUUUUGCAGUUGUGGUAGCAAAAUAUGAUCUGAAUGGAAGAGUUUUCAGAAUGAAACCUUGCCUCUGAUCUCAUCACAAAUAUCAAUCUCGGAGGUAUGCAGAAAAGAAAGCCCAAUGCAUUUUGGAAACAAGUCCUAUAGACUGAUGAAGUAAAAAUAGAAGUAUUUGGCCACAGUGACUAAAACGGUGGAUCGGUUAUGCUUAGGGGUUGUGUGGCAGCCAGCGGAAUAGGAAACAUUGCACAAGUAGAAGGAAGAAUGGAUUCCAGUAAAUUCCAGCUAAUUCUGGAAUGAAAUGUGACACAAUCAGUAAUGUCACUGAAUCUGAAAAGAGACUGACUUCUAUAACAGGACAAAACAUGCUUCAAAAUCCACCAUUUCAGACAAAAGGAAGACUUUUAACCUGUAAACAGGAUAUAGCAGACCACCUGUCUUAGAAAGUGUAGUGUAGGUGUUAUAAAAACAUAAAAGUGUGUCUGCACUCAUAAAUAGCUUCUCCACCCACAAUGACUGGUAACACACACACACACACACACACACACACACACACACACACACACAGGCAGGCCUCCUCUAACUGUGUGACCAAAAACCACCAAGUGCACAAGGUUCAAUAAGAGACCAGUGUUUACACUGGAUUAUGCAAGAUCUUUCCAACCUUCUUGGCUAAAUAAAGAGUUUUUAUUAAUAUGCCACUGAAUCUAAGCAAAAAGUUUGUUGUGCAUAAAAAUUGCAUGAAAUAAACACGAG
ensembl:lncRNA